CUGGAACAUCUGAUUACUUUAAGCAUCCCUCUGCUAAUGUACAAUUAUAGGUUCCUUCUUGAAGUCCCUGCUAAAUACACAUGUCCAUAGAAUGACUCACUGUUUGACCCUUGGCUGUCCCGUACCUGCUGGAUGGCAGUGGACCGAAGGCUGCAGAGGCUCGUUAGAGGUUGCUGAUAUCACCCAGGAGUUUCCUGUUUCACCUGCCUGCUAUCCGAUCCCGCUGAAUGCUUCUUGCCUGCCCCAGCCAUGUCUGGCUCCUGGAACAAUGACCAUCUUUAUCCUGCAGCCUGUCUCCAGCCUCCGCACAGCCCAACAGUACCUGCCCUCUCCACCCCCAGGCACCUCCUCCCCUGCCCCUGCUCUGCCUCUCAGCAAUGCCGCCUGCUGCUACCUGUUCAGGAGGAUCAUCAGCGCGAUGCUGCAGGAUGACUGAGGGGUCUGCAGCCUCCCUGCAGUAGCCCCCAGCCCACCAGUUAAAAACCACUGUCCCAUGGCAGCUGCCCCUUGUGCAUGGCCUGGCUGUAUGCACUGGGCCUGGUUAGAUCUAGAGAGCAGCUUAAUAAGGGGCCUGCCCAUGUUCCCAUGGAGCUCCGUGGCGUAGGGGAGGCUGUCUCUCAGCCGGGACUAGCAAAGACCCUUCUGAGAGCCCCCAUGGCCACCUCUAACACCACAGCCUCCCUCUGAGCAGACAUGCCACGAAAGGAGGUUUGCUCAUCGGAGGCAGCAGAUGGGUCUCUUCUGUGCUGGAGUCAGGCAGGGCAAAGGUGGCAGAGAAGGCCGUGCCACUGCCACUGCAGGUGGCUCUGGCAGGCUCCUGUCACUGCCAUCGUACUGCUGCAGAGCUCCAGUUCCCCUGGGCAUUACGGGGUGGUGCUUUUCUUCCUUCCGGGUUGGAGCUGUUUCUCUUGGCUCAGGACUGUGGAUGUCUGGCAGGGUGAUGGACUCGCCUAGCUGGGCAAGUGUUAGUCCUGGCCGGGGACCAGUGACUGUGCUGUGGAAAACAUCAGGACAUCCACCAGGGCUAGGAAGGAGUGCAGGACAUGGGAUUCUGUGACUGACCAGGGAGUGCGCAUGGAGACAAGUGUCUGGGCUGCAGCCCUUGCCCCUUCCCAGCCAGUGCCCAUCCUCAUCUCAGGGACGGCGAUGGAGAUUAGAGGUCCAGCAUGCAGUACUCUGUGUGCCACAGCGUUUACUGGAAUAUGUGACCCCCAGGAGCUGCCCUCCUGCUCAAUUCAGGGCCACUGUUUUGUUUGCUUGCAAGGGUCACGGUUCUCAUGCUCCUGGUGCCCCAAGGGGACAAUGUAUGAGCUCCCAUCCUCCAGAAAUGCUGCCAAGCUCACUCCCUCCUGCAUUUGGGCUUGACACGAAGAUGCUCUGAGCAGCUGCAUCCCCCAUGGAAGUCAAAGGGCCCCCUGUUCAUGGCCUCUCUGGUU
rnacentral:lncRNA from 1 species